AUACCACUCAGUAUUUAUCACUAAACUCGAUCUUCCUGACCUCUGGUGGUUUUUUAAGCUAACAUUCUUGCUUAAUAAAUUCAACAAAAAAAAUUUUAGAUGAAGGAAAAAUUAGCAAAUCAAACUUGGGUAAUAGAAUUUAUUAAUAAAUAUGGUCGAGUCUCGUUAUGAGUAAUUUAUUUUCUUUUUUUAUAGCCAGACUCGCGUUAAUAUGAGAAACACUAAUAGGACUCUUAAAGAGACUAUACUGUAAAUCAAAAGAAUUUUUUCAAAUUAUUGCAACACAUAACAUUUGAAGAUGUCUAUGAUAUCAUACUGACUCAGCAAAUAUCUGACAGUUUUUGAAAUUUUUAUAACUAAUCAAUUAUGAUAAAAAAAAUAUCUUUGAA